UACGAAGGGGGCUAGCGUUGCUCGGAAUCACUGGGUUUAAAGGGUGCGUAGGAGGGCAGGUAAGUCAGUGGUGAAAUCUCCAAGCUUAACUUGGAAACUGCCGUUGAUACUAUCUGUCUUGAAUAUUGUGGAGGUGAGCGGAAUAUGUCAUGUAGCGGUGAAAUGCUUAGAUAUGACAUAGAACACCAAUUGCGAAGGCAGCUCGCUACUCAAUUAUUGACUCUGAGGCACGAAAGCGUGGGGAUCAAACAGG
rnacentral:rRNA from 1 species